rnacentral:tRNA from 2 species
GCGGGUGCAGCUCGGCGGUCGAGCACUGGCUUUCCAAGUCAGAGGUGUAGGUUCGAUUCCUGCCAUCCGCUCCA